ACUCUUGGAAAUGGAUAUCUCGGCACUUGUUACGAUGAAGAACGUAGCGAAAUGCGAUACUUAGUGUGAAUUGCAGAAUCCCGUGAAUCAUCAAGUUUUUUAAUGCAAUUUUCACCCGAGGCCUCGGUCAAGGGCACAUCUGUGUAGGUGUUGCAUCCCAUUCAAACACGCUCCCUGCAAUAUGCUAAUGAGAAGCAGAGUUGGUCGUUCAUGCCCAACGCGGUGCGGUUGGCUGAAAUACCUCAAGCGAUGUUUCAUGGUGUGCGUUAGCGAGCAAUGAGCUUGUCCCCUUGGAUGGGUAGUUGGCGUUAGCUGAUGCGGGCUUUGUGUGGCAUCGCUCGAACUUGCUUUGCUCUCUCUUGCCCUCCCAUCGGGUAGGGUGGAUUUAGCUCCAACUUUGCAACCUCAGCUCAGGCAAGAACACUCGGUGAGUUUAAGCAUAUAAUUAAGUGGAGGAAAAGAAACUCACAAGGAUUCCCCUAGUAGUGGCGAGUUAACCAAGAAGAGCCCAACAUGAAAAUUGGGUGACAGCGUCGCCUGAAUUAUAGUCUGUAGAAGCAUCCUUAGCGGUGGACUUGGGCCAAGUCCCUUAGAAGGGGGUGCCUGAGAGGGCGAUAGCCCCGUCGGCCCGGGACCCUGAUGCAUCACAAGGUGUUUUCGGCGAGUCGUGUUGUUUGGGAAUGCAGCGCUAAUUGGGUGGUAAAUUGUGUCCAAGGCUAAAUACGGGUGAGAGACCGAUAGCGAACAAGUACCGCGAGUGAAAGAUGAAAAGGACUUUGGAAAGAGAGUUAAAGAGUGCUUGAAAUUUCCAGGAGGGAAGUAGAUGGAGGCUGUCGAUGUGUCUCGGUCAGAUGUGGAAUGGCUUAGGCUGGUCCGCCGCUCGACUUGAGGUGCAAUCCAACAUGGGAUGCUGCAUCGUCACACACAAGUUUUAUCGGGUAAAGAAAAUGAUUAGAGGCAUUGGGGGUGUAACUCCCUCGACCUAUUCUCAAACUUUAAAUAGGUAAGAGGGUGUGGCUGCUCCAUUGAGCCGCGCCGUGGAACCGAGAGCUCCAGGUGGGCCAUUUUUGGUAAGCAGAACUGGCGAUGCAGGAUGAACCAAAAGUCGAGUUACGGUGCUGAAUUGCGUGCUAACUUAGAUCCCACAAAGGGUGCUGGUUGAUUAAGACAGCAGGGCGGUGGUCAUGGAAGUCAAAAUCCGCUAAGGAGUGUGUAACAACUCACCUACCAAAUCAAUUAGCCCCAAAAAUGGAUGGCACUGAAGCGUGCAACCUAUACUCGACCGUCGAAGCAAUUGCUUGGCUUUGAUGAGUAGGAGGAUGCGGUGCACAUCUUGGUGGUAGUAGCAAAUAUUCAAAUGAGAACUUUGAAGACUGAAGUGGGGAAAGGUUCCAUGUGAAGAACACUUGGACAUGGGUUAGUUGAUCCUAAGAGAUGGGGAAGCCUUGUAUCAAGGGUGCACUCUGCACGAGCAUCGAAAAGGAAUCGAGUUAAUAUUCCUGAACUGGGACAUGGUGGCAGGCAGCAAUGUUAGGAAAUCUGGAGACGUCGUUAGGGGCCCCAGGAAGAGUUAUCUUUUCUUUUUAACAGCUUGCCUACCUUGGAAUCUGUUCACCCGGAGAUAGGGUCCAGCAGCUGGAAGAGCACCGCACGUCUUGCAGUGUCCAGUGUGCCCUCAGUGGCCCUUGAAAAUUUGGAGGACCGACUAGCAUUCAUGCCUGGUCAUACUCAUAACCGCAUCAGGUCUCCAAGGUGAACAACCUCUGGUCAAUAGAACAAUGUAGGUAAGGGAAGAUGGAAAAAUGGAUCCGUAACUUUGAGAAAAGGAUUGGCUCUGAGGGCGGGGCGUAGGGGUCUUCACCCUCAACUCGUGGGUUGUUGGCAUUCUACCUGAGCUGCUCCCAUGGAGAGGGCGAGCAGUCGCGUGCCGAUUGGGCUACAGGCGUAGAAUGCCCCUUGUCGGGGGCUUUUCCCUAGGUUUCAAACAGUCGACUCAUAACUGGUAUGGACAAGGGGAAUUCGACUGUUUAAUUAAAAAAAAGCAUUGCGAUGGUCCCUGAGGAUGCUUACGCAAUGUGAUUUCUACCCAGUGCUCUGAAUGUCAAGUGAAGAAAUUCAACCAAGCACGGGUAAACGGCGGGAGUAACUAUGACUCUCUUAAGGUAGAAAAAUGCCUCAUCAUCUAAUUAGUGACGUGCAUGAAUGGAUUAAUGAGAUUCCCACUAUCCUUAUCUACUAUCUAGCGAAACCACAUCCAAGGGAAUGGGCUUGGCAGAAUCAGCGGGAAAAGAAUACCCUGUUGAGCUUGACUCUAGUCCAACUUUGUGAAAUGACUUGAGAGGUGUAGAAUAAGUGGGAGUUGUUUUCGGUGCAAGUGAAAUACCACUACUUUUAAUGUUAUUUUACUUAUUCCGUGGGGCAGAGACAGGGAACUGCCCCUGUUUUUGGCCUUAAGGCACGUUUCGGUGGGUCGAUCCAAGCAGAAGACAUUGUCAGGUGGGGAGUUUGGCUAGGGCGGCACAUUUGUUAAAAGAUAACUCAGGUGUACUAAGAUGAGCUCAACGAGAACAUAAAUCUCGUGUGGAACAAAAGGGUAAAAGCUCAUUUGAUUUUGAUUUUCAGUAUGAAUACAAACUAUGAAAGCAUUGCCUAUCAAUCCUUUAGAUUUUUAGAAUUUGAAGCUAAAGGUGUCAGAAAAGUUACCACAGGGAUAACUGGCUUGUGGCAGCCAAGCAUUCAUAGUGACAUUUCUUUUUCAUCCUUCGAUGUCGGCUCUUCCUAUCAUUGUGAAGCAUAAUUCACCAACUGUUGGAUUGCUCACCCACCAAUAGGGAACGUGAGAUGGGUUUAGACCACCGUGAGACAGGUUAGUUUUAGCCUAAUGAUGAACCGCACCGCAAUAGUAAUUCAACUUAGUACAAGAGGAACCAUUGAUUCACACAAUUGGUCAUCGCACUUGGUUGAAAAGCCAGUGGCGCAAAGCUACCAUGUGUCGGAUUAUGACUGAACGCCUCUAAGUCAGAAUCCAUGCUAGAAGCAGUGCACAUCACUCUUCGGCUGUAUCUCGACCCUCCCACACUCGCACCUUUGCCUCUUCCUCUAGACGACAAUUUUUU
rnacentral:rRNA from 1 species